CAGUCGCCACGGGAACACGAAGGGUGCAAGCGUUAAUCGGAAUUACUGGGCGUAAAGCGUGCGUAGGCGGUUUGUUAAGUCUGCUGUGAAAUCCCCGGGCUCAACCUGGGAACUGCCUUUGUGACUGCAAGGCUAGAGUACGGCAGAGGGGGAUGGAAUUCCGCGUGUAGCAGUGAAAUGCGUAGAUAUGCGGAGGAACACCGAUGGCGAAGGCAAUCCCCUGGGCCUGUACUGACGCUCAUGCACGAAAGCGUGGGGAGCAAACAGGAUUAGAUACCCGCGUAGUCCCUGUCUCUUAUAC
rnacentral:rRNA from 1 species